AUGUCCAAGUCGCAAACCAGUCGGACUUUUGGGCAACUGGCACUGGGCCCUGUGCCGUUUUCCAUCCCGUCCGCGGCCUCUACGCGAACGCCACGCGAGCAGAGCGCCGUGGUCGCACGUUCAAACAUUGCGUGUUCAACGGUCAACAUUCAAACGCUUCGACCCAACCACAACCGAACGAACAAAAUAAUCCUCCGCCCCGCGCAAGUCCACGAGUCUCCGUCUCCCUCCCAACCCCGCGUACGUACGUCACGCCGCUUCCCUCCCCCCACUCCACAACCUAUAUAUCCCGCUCCACCGCCGCACUACCUCCCCAGCUCUUCCCCUCCCUCCGUUCCAACCUCCAACCGACGCCAACGACUUCAACUCCAAUCCAUUCCGUUCAACGUUUCCGGCCGCCGCAACGUGCGACUGACUGACCGACUGGAAGCUCCGCCUCGCACGCCUCUUGUCUUUGUCUACCGGCUCGCCCAGAAGAAUAUGGUUCUCCCCAUGUCGCGGGCGACGAGGCUGGUGCCGGAGCUGCCGCUGCUGCGGCGGGGCAGGCGCGCGCAGGUGGCGGACGACGGGGAGCUGGCCGUGCCGGCGCACUUCCGGUGCCCGAUCUCGCUGGAGCUGAUGAAGGACCCCGUCACGGCGCCCACGGGCAUCACCUACGACCGGGAGAGCAUGGAGGGGUGGCUGGCGCGGGGGCGAGGCACGUGCCCCGUCACCGGCGGUCCCGUGCGCCUCGCCGACCUCGUCCCCAACCACGCCACGCGAAGGAUGAUCCAGGACUGGUGCGUCGCCAACCAGGCCGAGCGGGUGCCCACGCCCAAGGUGCCCGUCGCCGAGGCCGACGCCGCCGAGGUGCUCGCCGCCGUGUCCACCGCCGCCAGGCGCGGCAACGCCCCUGUGUGCGGGCAGCUCGCCGCCAGGGCUAGGGCGAUCGGCAAGGAGAGCGACCGCAACCGCCGGUGCCUCGCGGCCGCGGGCGCCGCUCGCCAGCUCUCGUCGGCUUUCCAGAGCCUCGCCGGGGAGCCCGUGGAGGGUACUAGCGCCGCCGUUCUAGGCGCGCUGGGGAAGAUCCUGGCGGCACUCACCGUGUUCUUCCCGCUCGACGACGAGGCGCGGCGCUGCAUUGCCUCACCGGCCUCCCUCAAGACCCUCGUCUCGGUGCUCUCCCACGGCGACCUCGCCGCGCGGGCCAGCGCCGCCAUCGUCCUCCGCGAGCUCGCCUCGUCCGCCGACCGGCACACCGUGGACGUCAUCUCGAGGACGCCCGGCGUGUGCAGCGCGCUCGUCGGCCUCGUCAGGAACCCCGUGUCCCCGCAGGCCACCAAGGCCGCGCUCGUCACGGCCUACUACCUCGUCUCCGGCAGCGACCGCGCGGCGGCCCGCUUCGCCGAGCUAGGCGCGGUGCCCGUCGUGGCGGAGCUCCUCGUGGACGCCGACAAGGGGACGAGCGAGAAGGCGCUGGCCAUGCUCGACGGCGUCCUGUGCGCCGACGCCGGCCUCGAGUCCGCGCGCGCGCACGCGCUGGUCGUGCCGGUGCUGGUCAAGAAGAUGUUCCGCGUGUCCGACAUGGCCACGGAGUUCGCCGUCUCCGCGCUCUGGCGCCUCUGCCGCGGCGCGGACGCCGGCGCCGGCGCGUGCUGCGCCGAGGCGCUGCGUGUGGGCGCCUUCCAGAAGCUGCUCCUGCUGCUCCAGGUGGGCUGCGGCGGCGUCACCAAGGACCGGGCCAGCGAGCUGCUCAAGCUGCUCAACGGCUUCAGGGGCAGCGUGGAGUGCAUCGAGACGGUGGACUUCAGGGGGCUCAAGAGGCCAUUUUGA
rnacentral:rRNA from 1 species